UGCAGUCGAGGGAGAACCAUUCGAUCCGUAAGGACUGGAUGGGGAAACCGGCGAACGGGUGCGUAACACGUGAGGAACCUGCCCCGAAGACCGGGAUAGCCCGAGGAAACCCGGAUUAAUACCGGAUACCCUCUUUGGACCACAUGGUCCGCUGAGGAAAUGGUCCGCCGCUUCGGGAUGGCCUCGCGGCCUAUCAGCUUGUUGGUGAGGUAACGGCUCACCAAGGCAAAGACGGGUAGCUGGUCUGAGAGGACGAUCAGCCACACUGGGACUGAGACACGGCCCAGACUCCUACGGGAGGCAGCAGCAGGGAAUAUUGCACAAUGGGCGAAAGCCUGAUGCAGCGACACCGCGUGCGGGAUGAAGGCCCUCGGGUUGUAAACCGCUUUCAGGAGGGACGAAAAUGACGGUACCUCCAGAAGAAGGCCCGGCCAACUACGUGCCAGCAGCCGCGGUAAUACGUAGGGGCCAAACGUUGUCCGGAUUUAUUGGGCGUAAAGGGCUCGUAGGCGGUUCAACAAGUCGAUCGUGAAAGCCCGGGGCUCAACCCCGGGACGCCGGUCGAAACUGUUGUGACUAGGGUCCGGUAGAGGUGAGUGGAAUUCUCGGUGUAGCGGU
rnacentral:rRNA from 1 species